CCAUCACUAGAUCUUGAGUUAACAGGUGUCAGGGUCAAAGAAAAUGGUUUUCUCUGUUUCUAUAGGAAACGUGCCCUUCUCUGCCCCCCAGCCCCGCCCCAGGCCGAGCAGUGUGUUCUUGGACACCUAGUGAAUCUGAUUCUCACUGGAAUCUUCAGAGGAGAGACAAGAAGCAUCUUUCUGCUGGCAGAGUCAUUUCAUCGCCCCGACACAGUUUCAGGAACCCGUGUGCUUCUGGGGCAGAGUUCUGGAAACCAAGGCUCAGUAGGACCGUUGUGGUGUUAACGUUGAAGCCAGGCAUCGGGAGUCUGUAAGCAGGUGCAUCUGGCGGCAGAGUCUCCUGCGGGGCUGAAACGCCCGUGCUUUGUUGAAGGUAAAGCGCACUCUGGCCUGCAGCUGAUGGCGAGUGCUUUCAGGGAUGUGACAUAAAACAAGCGUAAGGGGCCCUUGGGAUCCUGGCUUGUGACCUCACUCGCAGGGGAACCGUCUGGAACACUGAAGAAUGAGACGAGGAGCAGGAUGCUCUAGCGAUGGAAUCCUCAUGGUGAGAAAUGCUCUGUCCGCUCCCGAGUGUGAACCAACAUCAUUAAAGGCCGUAUCUCAGGAUUUGAUUCACAAAUCUAUUUAAAAACCAAGGCCGCUGCUUGUAAACCAGUCAGAUACUCUUAUUUUGAAGUGUUUUUCCUUUUGUUUGAGGCCUUUUUAUUUGUUUAUUUUGAUGUGUCUGUUCUGCUUUCUUGGAUUUGUUCUAAUCGUUAUCUUUCUAAGAAGGUUUCCUGUCAGUCUUCGAAGGAAAAAAAUCUUCGCUGAAUCCGUUAUCUUGCGAAGCUUGAAAUGUUGGCACCAUUUCUGUGUCAUUUUCUGUCAUUGUUCCUGACUUCCUUCUUCCUUCUUCCCUAAAUGUGGCAAA